rnacentral:rRNA from 1 species
CCCCAGACUCCUACGGGAGGCAGCAGUGGGGAAUAUUGCACAAUGGGGGAAACCCUGAUGCAGCGACGCCGCGUGAGUGAAGAAGUAAUUCGUUAUGUAAAGCUCUAUCAGCAGGGAAGAAAAUGACGGUACCUGAGUAAGAAGCCCCGGCUAACUACGUGCCAGCAGCCGCGGUAAUACGUAGGGGGCAAGCGUUAUCCGGAUUUACUGGGUGUAAAGGGAGCGUAGACGGCAGUGCAAGUCUGGAGUGAAAGGCGGAGGCUCAACCCCCGGACUGCUCUGGAAACUGUACGGCUGGAGUGCAGGAGAGGGAAGUGGAAUUCCUAGUGUAGCGGUGAAAUGCGUAGAUAUUAGGAGGAACACCAGUGGCGAAGGCGGCGUACUGGACGUUAACUGACGGUGAGGCUCGAAAGCGUGGGGAGCAAACAGGAUUAGAUACCCGCGUAAAA